rnacentral:rRNA from 1 species
GGCCUAACACAUGCAAGUCGAGCGGGCGUAGCAAUACGUCAGCGGCAGACGGGUGAGUAACGCGUGGGAACAUACCUUUUGGUUCGGAACAACACAGGGAAACUUGUGCUAAUACCGGAUAAGCCCUUACGGGGAAAGAUUUAUCGCCGAAAGAUUGGCCCGCGUCUGAUUAGCUAGUUGGUGAGGUAACGGCUCACCAAGGCGACGAUCAGUAGCUGGUCUGAGAGGAUGAUCAGCCACAUUGGGACUGAGACACGGCCCAAACUCCUACGGGAGGCAGCAGUGGGGAAUAUUGGACAAUGGGCGAAAGCCUGAUCCAGCCAUGCCGCGUGAGUGAUGAAGGCCCUAGGGUUGUAAAGCUCUUUUGUGUGGGAAGAUAAUGACGGUACCGCAAGAAUAAGCCCCGGCUAACUUCGUGCCAGCAGCCGCGGUAAUACGAAGGGGGCUAGCGUUGCUCGGAAUCACUGGGCGUAAAGGGUGCGUAGGCGGGUUUUUAAGUCAGGGGUGAAAUCCUGGAGCUCAACUCCAGAACUGCCUUUGAUACUGAAAAUCUUGAGUAUGGGAGAGGUGAGUGGAACUGCGAGUGUAGAGGUGAAAUUCGUAGAUAUUCGCAAGAACACCAGUGGCGAAGGCGGCUCACUGGCCCAUAACUGACGCUGAGGCACGAAAGCGUGGGGAGCAAACAGGAUUAGAUACCCUGGUAGUCCACGCCGUANACGAUGAAUGCCAGCCGCUAGUGCGUUUACUCACUAGUGGCGCAGCUAACGCUUUAUGCAUUCCGCCUGGGGAGUACGGUCGCA